GAUGAACGCUGGCGGCGUGCCUAAUACAUGCAAGUCGAGCGGACGGACGAGAAGCUCGCUUCUCUGAUGUUAGCGGCUGACGGGCGAGUAACACGUGGAUAACCUACCUAUAAGACUGGGAUAACUUCGGGAAACCGGAGCUAAUACCGGAUGAUAUGUUGAACCGCAGGGUUCAAAAGUGAAAGACGGUCUUGCUGUCUCUUAUAGAUGGUUCCGCGCUGCAUUAGCUAGUUGGUAAGGUAACGGCUUACCAAGGCAACGUUGCAUAGCCGACCUGAGAGGGUGAUCGGCCACACUGGAACUGAGACACGGUCUAGACUCCUACGGGAGGCAGCAGUAGGGAAUCUUCCGCAAUGGGCGAAAGCCUGACGGAGCAACGCCGCGUGAGUGAUGAAGGUCUUCGGAUCUUAAAACUCUGUUAUUAGGGAAAAACAUAUGUGUAAGUAACUGUGCACAUCUUGACGGUACCUAAUCAGAAAGCCACGGCUAACUACGUG
rnacentral:rRNA from 1 species